AAUUUUACUAAUACUUUUUUCCAAGAUACUUUUUCUAUUUUUUUUUUUCUUCAGGUUUUGAAACAACCUCAACCUGUCUAUCCUGGAGCUUUCUUUAUUUGAUACACUAUCCAGAAAUUCAAGCCAGAAUUAAAGAGGAAAUUGAAACUCAUUGGAAUGACAUCACCCAGAUCUGAAGACAGUACUACAGCAGACACUACUCUGAAUGCCUCUUUUAUUCCCAGGAGCUGCUUGGAAGAGAUACUCAAAAUGAAAAACAUCUCAUCAUGA
ensembl:lncRNA